rnacentral:lncRNA from 1 species
GAAUAAGCUUUUAGGAUAGGAUCCUCUAUCGAGGAUACCCUCUUACUCACAGGUCCAACCUUAAUUGGUUGCUAGACUCACUUUUGAUGUUUAUGCCAUUUUUGAAAGUACUCACACUCUUCCUUCAGAUUUUGUGAAUUAUAAUAUGACCUACUGUACUUUGGGCUCAUGAUAUCAAGGAGGGCUUAAAAUUACUAGGAGUAGCUAAGAAAGGAAAAUAGAGAAGAAUAUGCAAGGUUUUGAAG